AUUGAACGCUGGCGGCAUGCCUUACACAUGCAAGUCGAACGGUAGGGGGAGCAAUCCCCUGAGAGUGGCGAACGGGUGAGUAAAGCAUCGGAACGUGCCCAGUUGUGGGGGAUAACUACUCGAAAGAGUGGCUAAUACCGCAUACGACCUGAGGGUGAAAGCGGGGGACCGAAAGGCCUCGCGCAGUUGGAGCGGCCGAUGUCAGAUUAGCUAGUUGGGGGGGUAAAGGCCCACCAAGGCGACGAUCUGUAGCUGGUCUGAGAGGACGACCAGCAACACUGGGACGGAGACACGGCCCAGACGCCUACGGGAGGCAGCAGUGGGGAAUUUUGGACAAUGGGCGCAAGCCUGAUCCAGCCAGGCCGCGUGCAGGAAGAAGGCCUUCGGGUUGUAAACUGCUUUUGUCAGGGAAGAAAUCCCUUGGGUUAAUACCUCGGGGGGAUGACGGUACCUGAAGAAUAAGCACCGGCUAACUACGUGCCAGCCGCCGCUGUAA
rnacentral:rRNA from 1 species